GACGAACGCUGGCGGCGUGCUUAACACAUGCAAGUCGAACGGAAAGGCCCUGCUUUUGUGGGGUGCUCGAGUGGCGAACGGGUGAGUAACACGUGAGUAACCUGCCCUUGACUUUGGGAUAACUUCAGGAAACUGGGGCUAAUACCGGAUAGGAGCUCCUGCUGCAUGGUGGGGGUUGGAAAGUUUCGGCGGUUGGGGAUGGACUCGCGGCUUAUCAGCUUGUUGGUGGGGUAGUGGCUUACCAAGGCUUUGGCGGGUAGCCGGCCUGAGGGGGUGACCGGCCACAUUGGGACUGAGAUACGGCCCAGACUCCUACGGGAGGCAGCAGUGGGGAAUAUUGCACAAUGGGCGGAAGCCUGAUGCAGCAACGCCGCGUGCGGGAUGACGGCCUUCGGGUUGUAAACCGCUUUCGCCUGUGACGAAGCGUGAGUGACGGUAAUGGGUAAAGAAGCACCGGCUAACUACGUGCCAGCAGCCGCGGUGAUACGUAGGGUGCGAGCGUUGUCCGGAUUUAUUGGGCGUAAAGGGCUCGUAGGUGGUUGAUCGCGUCGGAAGUGUAAUCUUGGGGCUUAACCCUGAGCGUGCUUUCGAUACGGGUUGACUUGAGGAAGGUAGGGGAGAAUGGAAUUCCUGGUGGAGCGGUGGAAUGCGCAGAUAUCAGGAGGAACACCAGUGGCGAAGGCGGUUCUCUGGGCCUUUCCUGACGCUGAGGAGCGAAAGCGUGGGGAGCGAACAGGCUUAGAUACCCUGGUAGUCCACGCUGUAAACGGUGGGUACUAGGUGUGGGGUCCAUUCCACGGGUUCCGUGCCGUAGCUAACGCUUUAAGUACCCCGCCUGGGGAGUACGGCCGCAAGGCUAAAACUCAAAGGAAUUGACGGGGCCCCGCACAAGCGGCGGAGCAUGCGGAUUAAUUCGAUGCAACGCGUAGAACCUUACCUGGGUUUGACAUGGAUCGGGAGCGCUCAGAGAUGGGUGUGCCUCUUUUGGGGUCGGUUCACAGGUGGUGCAUGGCUGUCGUCAGCUCGUGUCGUGAGAUGUUGGGUUAAGUCCCGCAACGAGCGCAACCCUUGUUCACUGUUGCCAGCACGUUAUGGUGGGGACUCAGUGGAGACCGCCGGGGUCAACUCGGAGGAAGGUGGGGAUGACGUCAAGUCAUCAUGCCCCUUAUGUCCAGGGCUUCACGCAUGCUACAAUGGCUGGUACAGAGAGUGGCGAGCCUGUGAGGGUGAGCGAAUCUCGGAAAGCCGGUCUCAGUUCGGAUUGGGGUCUGCAACUCGACCUCAUGAAGUCGGAGUCGCUAGUAAUCGCAGAUCAGCAACGCUGCGGUGAAUACGUUCCCGGGGCU
rnacentral:rRNA from 1 species